AGGAUUCCCCUAGUAGCGGCGAGCGAACCGGGAAGAGCCCAGCUUGAAAAUCGCGUCGCCUUCGGGCGGCGCGAGUUGUAAUCUGGAGAAGCGUCCUCCGCGGCGGACCGGUCCCAAGUUCCCUGGAAAGGGACGUCGGAGAGGGUGAGAACCCCGUCGGGACCGGACCCUGCCGCCCCACGAGGCGCUGUCGACGAGUCGGGCUGUUUGGGAAUGCAGCCCUAAGUGGGAGGUAAAUUCCUUCCAAGGCUAAAUACGGGCGGGAGACCGAUAGCGAACAAGUACCGCGAGGGAAAGAUGAAAAGGACUUUGAAAAGAGAGUUAAAGAGUGCUUGAAAUUGCUGGGAGGGAAGCGAAUGGAGGCCUCGGGCGCGCCCCGGUCGGAUGCGGAACGGCGUCAAGCUGGUCCGCCGCUCGACGCGGGGCGCCGGUCAGCGUGGGCUGUCGCGGCGGGACAAAAGUCGGCCUUCAGGGGCCGGCCGGAAUGCCGUCGGGGCGGCCGAGGGACCGAAGCGCGCGCCCUCGUGGCGGGCCCCCUUCGCGGGGGGCACCUGCGCGCUCGGGACGCUGGCGGAGUGGGCUUUUCAUCCGACCCGUCUUGAAACACGGACCAAGGAGUCUAACAUGCAUGCGAGCCGGUGGGCGGCAAACCCACGUUUGAGGCGCAAAGAAAUUGACAGGUGUGAUCCCCUUCGCCGGGGUGCAACAUCGACCGACCAUGAUCUUCUGUGAAAGGUUCGAGUGAGAGCAUGCCUGAUGGGACCCGAAAGAUGGUGAACUAUGCCUGAGCAGGGCGAAGUCAGAGGAAACUCUGGUGGAGGCUCGUAGCGAUACUGACGUGCAAAUCGUUCGUCAGACUUGGGUAUAGGGGCGAAAGACUAAUCGAACCAUCUAGUAGCUGGUUCCCUCCGAAGUUUCCCUCAGGAUAGCUGGAGCACGCGAGAAGUUUUAUCGGGUAAAGCGAAUGAUUAGAGGCAUCGGGGGUGAAACACCCUCGACCUAUUCUCAAACUUUAAAUAGGUAAGACGCCGGGGUUGCUUGAGUGAACCCCCGG
rnacentral:rRNA from 1 species